GUAGCCGGCCUGAGAGGGCGCACGGCCACACUGGAACUGAAACACGGUCCAGACUCCUACGGGAGGCAGCAGUGGGGAAUUUUGCGCAAUGGGGGAAACCCUGACGCAGCAACGCCGCGUGGAGGAUGAAGCCCCUUGGGGUGUAAACUCCUUUCGAUCGGGACGAUUAUGACGGUACCGGAAGAAGAAGCACCGGCUAACUCUGUGCCAGCAGCCGCGGUAAUACAGAGGGUGCAAGCGUUGUUCGGAAUUAUUGGGCGUAAAGGGUGCGUAGGCGGUGCGGUAAGUCUUCUGUGAAAUCUCCGGGCUCAACCCGGAGCCUGCAGAGGAAACUGCCGUGCUGGAGUAUGGGAGAGGUGAGUGGAAUUCCCGGUGUAGCGGUGAAAUGCGUAGAUAUCGGG
rnacentral:rRNA from 1 species